UCUCUCUAUAUAUUUUUCCAUCGGUCUUGGUGGGGAUAAAGGAGCAAAAGUAAUGCUGAAGCUGGUCUCACAGCCUUAUAAUCUGGUAUAUAGCACGUGGGCUGGUUGCAAACAAGG
rnacentral:snoRNA from 1 species